GUUUGCAUUAUGUAAAUGGCAAGAAUAAAAUGCAAACCAGAGAAGACGGUAGUUUAUAGUGGUUCGGUCAAUCGUGACCUACAUCCACUCCUCUGAUUCCUCUUCCGUCGAGGCCACCGGCAUCCACUAAUGAUCUUCCUUUACUAGGCGAAGAUCAACCUCCUUCUUACACCCCUCUUACAACCUCUUACAAGUGGUUCACCCUUUUACAAAGAUUUCAAUGAAAAGAAAGGAGGUGAACACUCAAGCUAUUGAAAACAAGACUUUUCCUAAAGCUUUUCUCAACUUCUA
rnacentral:lncRNA from 1 species